GAUGAACGCUGGCGGCGUGCCUAAUACAUGCAAGUCGAGCGAACAGACGAGGAGCUUGCUCCUCUGACGUUAGCGGCGGACGGGUGAGUAACACGUGGAUAACCUACCUAUAAGACUGGGAUAACUUCGGGAAACCGGAGCUAAUACCGGAUAAUAUAUUGAACCGCAUGGUUCAAUAGUGAAAGACGGUUUUGCUGUCACUUAUAGAUGGAUCCGCGCCGCAUUAGCUAGUUGGUAAGGUAACGGCUUACCAAGGCAACGAUGCGUAGCCGACCUGAGAGGGUGAUCGGCCACACUGGAGCUGAGACACGCUCCAGACUCCUACGGGAGGCAGCAGUAGGGAAUCUUCCGCAGUGGGCGAAAGCUUGACGGAGCAACGCCGCGUGAGUGAUGAAGGUCUUCGGAUCGUAAAACUCUGUUAUUAGGGAAGAACAAAUGUGUAAGUAACUAUGCACGUCUUGACGGUACCUAAUCAGAAAGCCACGGCUAACUACGUG
rnacentral:rRNA from 1 species